GUACUGCUGAGGAGUCCCAAACUAGGAGGAGACAGAUGUCCAGUAC
rnacentral:hammerhead_ribozyme from 1 species